GCCCGAUUGGCACAAUUGGUCAGCGCGUGAGACUUUUAAUCUCAAGGUUACGAGUUCGAGCCUCGUAUCGGGCG